GUUGCUCUCAAGCUAUCUUGUUUAUAACCUUUAAAAGUGUUGCUUAAUGCUUUAAAUUCUUGCAGUUAUCAAAAUGUUUAUAAAAAGGGCAGUUCAUAAUGAGGAUCAAAGCUCUCUGGAAAUUCUUCAGUGAUUUCAUUGUUUUACAUAAAUAUUCAGAUCUAUUUUAUCUGCAGGGUGCUGACGAAAUGGCGUUCUCGUGCUGCAGAGCUUAAUAGAUUCAAUUAAAAGGAUUCCUGUUUCAGCCCGAUACAGUGAGAAUCACAAGCCGUACUUCUUGCCG